AUUGAACGCUGGCGGCGUGCCUAACACAUGCAAGUCGAGCGGUAACAGGUGUAGCAAUACAUGCUGACGAGCGGCGAACGGGUGAGUAAUGCUUUGGAAUCUUCCCAGUAGUGGGGAAUAACCAGUCGAAAGAUUGGCUAAUACCGCAUACGUCUGUAAAGGGAAAGCGGGGGACUCGCCUCUUCUUCGGAAGAGAGGCCUCGCGCUAUUGGAUGAGCCAAAGCGGAUUAGCUAGUUGGUGGGGUAAUGGCCUACCAAGGCGACAAUCCGUAGCUGGUCUGAGAGGACGACCAGCCACACCGGAACUGAGACACGGUCCGGACUCCUACGGGAGGCAGCAGUGGGAAUAUUGACAUGGGGAAACCCUGAUCCAGCGACGCCGCGUGUGUGGAAGAAGGCCUGGCGGGUUGUAAA
rnacentral:rRNA from 1 species